UACGUAGGGUGCGAGCGUUGUCCGGAAUUAUUGGGCGUAAAGGGCUCGUAGGCGGCCAACUAAGUCGGACGUGAAAUCCCUCAGCUUAACUGGGGAACUGCGUCCGAUACUGGAUGGCUUGGAUUUGGGAGAGGGAUGCGGAAUUCCAGGUGUAGCGGUGAAAUGCGUAGAUAUCUGGAGGAACACCGGUGGCGAAGGCGGCGUCCUGGACCAACACUGACACUGAGGAGCGAAAGCCAGGGGAGCAAACGGG
rnacentral:rRNA from 1 species